GCCGGAGUGGCGAAAUGGCAGACGCAGGGGACUUAAAAUCCCCAGGCCUGAAAGGGCCGUGAGGGUUCGAGUCCCUCCUCCGGUACCA
rnacentral:tRNA from 1 species